UUGGCUCCUGGAGGCUGCAUCACCAGGCCUGGCCUAAAAUAAAGCCUUUGCUCCCUAAAUUUUAAUUUCUUGCUUCCUUGGAUUUUAUUCCAGGGUCCAAGCUAUCACAUUUGGGGGCUUGUUCAGGAUGGAAGCAAGACCCCCAACUCAAUUCUGAAUACCUAAAAAUUCCUUCAAGUUGUCUACAUAGAAAAUUGUGUUCUCUAUAAAUCAAGAUCAAAAUCAUGAAUAACCAAAAUACAACUCUGCCACAGCCCUGAUGCCAUCCAUCAGCAUCACGAGUGCUGAAUCCUAACAGCUGACUCAGUUGGCUGCCAAUUCUACUGUUGCGGGCUUCCACCAUCCACCAGCUUGUGCUGGGCACCAUAGUGAGAUCUACACAGUGCUGGUCUCUGUCACCGUCAUCACUGGCUGCUGUUCUUUGGAGCUGCUCAGGGCUGACUGCCCCAAGCACUUAUUGCUCUUUCUUCUAUAGUCACCACUAUAAAUCACAAGCAGAUUUACAAAUUUAUCAGAGUUUACAAUCGGGCUCACGAGAUGGUUAACAUCCCCUCCCUGACCUCACUGACUGUGCGGAGUCCCAGACAGAGCCAACCACGACGAACCAGGCGCUUGGUCAGACGAAAGGGAGAAAGCACAGUUGCUUCUUACUGAC